rnacentral:rRNA from 1 species
GACGAACGCUGGCGGCAUGCCUAACACAUGCAAGUCGAACGGAGAAUGUCAAAUGAAGUUUUCGGAUGGAUUUUGGUAUUCUUAGUGGCGGACGGGUGAGUAACGCGUGAGCAACCUGCCUUUCAGUGGGGGACAACAGUUGGAAACGACUGCUAAUACCGCAUAAUGUAUACGGAUCGCAUGGUCUGUAUACCAAAGAUUUAUCGCUGAAAGAUGGGCUCGCGUAUGAUUAGAUAGUUGGUGAGGUAACGGCUCACCAAGUCGACGAUCAUUAGCCGGACUGAGAGGUUGAACGGCCACAUUGGGACUGAGACACGGCCCAGACUCCUACGGGAGGCAGCAGUGAGGAAUAUUGGGCAAUGGGCGCAAGCCUGACCCAGCAAUGCCGCGUGAAGGAUGAAGGUCUUCGGAUUGUAAACUUCUUUUGUCAAGGACGAUAAUGACGGUACUUGACGAAUAAGCCACGGCUAACUACGUGCCAGCAG